GAGGGUAUAGCUCAGGGGUAGAGUGUAAUGCUUAGCAUGCACGAGGUCCUGGGUUCAAUCCCAGUACCUCCG
rnacentral:tRNA from 1 species